rnacentral:lncRNA from 1 species
AAGGGAGGGAGUAGUUUUUUGUAGUUCCCCCUUGUUUGGUUAUCCCUUUUGGUGACCAUUGUAUACUUCCUAUGCACUUUGCUACACUCUUUCUGGGUGUUUUUUAUAUACCUACUUUAUUUACCCAUCAAUAAAUAAAUAAAUAAAUAAUUUCAAAGCUGGUCUUUCUUUGAAGUUCCAUCCACAACUGAUUUCCAGAAAUAAAGAAAUUGCAUAUGAAACCCUACCUGAGCAGCAGCGAUUGCUGAUCUUAAAGCAUCAGGAUCUGUUACUAUCAUUCCAAUUACGCCUGCAUUAUUCACCUGUCCAGAAUUCCACAUUUCUCAUUAUCCAAUUUUUAACCAUAAACUGAAAAAAUAAAGUGAUAAAAAAGGAAGUCAGUCGAUACUUUUCAGAAUAUUACACAUAAGAUUACUGAUUCUGAGAUUCAUCUCAAAAUUUUCAAGAAUCAUGUGGAUAGGAGAGUUUGAUGAUAACAUGUAGCGCAUACAUAUGUCACAUGUGUGUGCAUGUUGCUUUAACUUUAUUAAAACAUCAAUUAAAUUCACUAACAAAGCCUUCCUGAAGAAGUCAUGCAACUCCAUACUGAUGUAUAUCAAAGGAGAGAGAAUGAUGGGACCGAGGAAACUAAAGUGGGCACUGGUUCAAUGAUAAUAUAGGAUAUUAACCAAAGUAGAAAUCGGGUGAUGUGUUGAUUAAUAUGAUGGAUUUAAGUAACAGUACAGUGUGGCCUAAAGGGAUGGCAAGGAGAAAGGAUACGGCAUUGGCUUAACUGUUUCCUGACCAGUGAUGAGUUACAAAACACACAAUUCAAAAUUCUCUUCAAACAAAAACUAAGACUAUGAUUGGUUCUCGAAAAGUAUUAAGAAAAGAAAAAAAAUGCUAAAGAAAUCAUUUUCUCAUGUUUGAUUUCAACAUGGAAAAUACAAAAUAAAAUCAAAUUAGUUUAAAAUUUAUACAUUCUAAAAUUAUUUAAUAUUUAUAAAACAGAGGGUUUAAAGAAAUAUAUAAAAAUAAUUUAUUUUCCCCUCAGCCUUUCUUUCCUUCUCCCUUUCCUCUUUAUUUUCUUUUUCUUACAUUUUCCCAAAACCAAACAUAGCCUAAUAGCCUAAUUGUUUUUAACAUGAUAAAUAGACAGAAUAGGGGGGAAUCUCAAGUAGUUCAGUUCAUUUUGGUGGUUGCAUCAGAUACAGUAGUCUAUGACAGUACACAAGACCUGCCCAAUUGAAACUUAGCAAUGUAUCAUUCCCAUUUUCAAGUUCUAAUCAAGAGCCGAAUGUGAAACUGGCAAUAUUCACGUAUCAUCAAAAUCGGUACAGACAUUCAUACAUACAUACAUAUCCCGUCAAAAAGGAGGAAAAAUCAAAGGAAGAAUUGAGUAAUAGAGUAAUUGUGCAAUUGGGUAUGCUAGAAAGGAUCGAUCAGGGAUUUUCAGGAGCAUGCCAUGCUUAUGUCUGCCACAAGAACCAAGAAAAAACGAUGGAAAAUUGAUCAAGAAAUGGGGGUUUCCAAAAUACCAAGAUAUCAAGCUUCCCAAACUGGGUUUUGAUGAAAUCCGCAAGGGAAGCAAUACUUGCAGGCUGCCCAACAUCAAGCUGAUGAAAAAUCACAUUAGAGAGACCAGAUCCUUUGAGGCUUUCAAGAGCUUCAACACCCCUCUUUUCAUCUCUAGCUGUUAGCACCACUGUCACCCCAUUAGCUGCCAACUCCCUACAUAUUCCCAACCCAAUUCCUUUAUUUGCUCCUGUAACAACUGCAUACCUGAAACAGAAAAAAUAUCAGAAAGCAAGCAAAACGGGUGUGAUAUAAUACGUCUUUAGACUUAGAACUUGUAAAAAAGGCAACGGUGGAAAAACCCAGAACUUCUUUGUUGCUUCGGCCAUUGUUUUUGAGAAAGGAUUUGUGUGUGAAGACAGAAAAAUUGGAUUGGCUUUGAGUUUUGUUAUACAGAUAUUGGCGAAGUUUUUCAACUUUCUGUCCCGAAAAUGAAGUUUAUGGGCAUAAAAGUAAAUGCAACGCUGAUUUACUUGUCAAUUCAAUUGUUAUAAAGAUAGAUAUUCGCACAUCAUUUAAUCCAUUGAUCGAGGCAGAAAUCAUAACUACGGCUGUUGAUGGCAGUUGGAUUUUUAUUAGGAAUAUUUGACCCAAAAGCAAAAUCGUUGUGGGUGUGAGACACAGGUAAAGGAAAUAUUUAAUACAUGGUAUUUUUCUUUUAAAGAAAAAGUCUAUGGGUUUAAAAAGAUUUUUUUUUUUUUUUGUUAAUUCAAGAGUAAAUCCAUCCCUUUUUAUUUUUUAUGGGGCUCCGAGGUCAUGGAGUCUAGAUAAGAUUGCAACAUACCAUAAUUUGAAUUCUUUGAAAAACGAUACUUAAAUAUGUCCCUUACAUUAAGUCAAUCUAUAUUUCAUGAUAGCCCUAAAAAGGCCUUGUGCAAGCGGUGAGAUUGGGUUUCUGAUGAACUAUAAGUCUACAAAAGGGGAGAGAGGCGAGUCACGGGAGAUAGAAAUAAGCGCUGAACCGGCAUUGCUGGCUAAAGUUAGAGAGAAAUGAAUGAAGAAGAUAACUGUCACUUCAAUUGGGCCCAUCCAUCAUAUACCCAUAUACCCAAAUGAAAGUAAUCAUAAAAUUGCACAGAAAUCAGAGUCAACACUUGCCCAUACGAAAUUGCAGAACAGAGGAAUCAAACUAGCCAUUUUGAUUAGGAAGACUGGGGGGCAACGUACUGAUGCGGUUUCCUCUGUUUUUGAAACUGCUGCCCAUUAAAAAUGCUCAUAUGGCCAGAGCAGCACUUUUUUUUUCUUUUUUCUUUUUUCCAUCAAUUCAAAUUUAAUCAUGCACGUUAAAACUCAAAUUCAAAGUUUAGUAUAACAUAAUCCUAUUGAUAUAAUUAGUUGUUAAAUUUGACCAUACAAAUUAAGAGGCAUUUGAAAGAAGUAAUAUAAUUGUUACAAUUAAAAAGAAAGUACAUCUUAUUUAAAAGUUCUUGACUCCAUAGGCUCCACUCCACCUGUGGUAUAGAAAUUUUGAGGAAAGCCACAACAGAGGAAGAAAUACGCUAGCCUCUAAGUUAGUUGAGGCCGUCCACCACACUACAUAAAAAUGAAAGCGUAUGAAAAGUGGAAGGAAUCGAAGUCAAACGGGUCUACCCACGGUAUGAUUUGUCCAAUGAAAUUGCAUGGAAAAGAGUAGUAAUCUUAGAGUCAGAGCCCAUCACCAAUAAAGGAUUUUUGAAAAUCUCACCUACUGAAUAAUUCUUAAAAAAUCAUUUCAGCUAAUUUUAUAGAUUUGUAAGAUUUAUAAGCCCUUCCAAUUGAAAACAUUUAUAACAUUUCAAACAAGUAAACUCUUAAUUUUUCAUUAAUUCUAUAAUAAAAGAAGAACAUUUUAAAUAUCUCCAAUAAAAUCAUUCCUAAUUCCAAGGAACAAAUUACUUUCUGAAACAUUAUUUUGUUUCCUCACAUGUUCUAACAAGAUUAUCAUUUCAAGUGGUAUAUUUGGAUAAAAUUACUCUUAUAAUCACCAACUUUUUUAUUCAAGGGAAUCAAGUUCAUCACAAAUUCGUAAUAAAUAUUUUUAAUAUACGAAAAUUUGUAACAAAUAAUAUUUUUAAUACAAGAGCACAUCACCUCCCUUGAUAAAAACAUUUCCUUAAACCCUAAUAUAUUUGAUUAUUGAAAAAUGUGAGAGAAAAAGUAUAAAGAAAGUAAAAGUAAAGAAAAAUAAAAAAAAAGUUAAAAUUAAUAAAUUAUUUUAUAUAUUAUUUCAAACUCAUUUCACUUAUUAUAUAUAUAUUAAAUAAUUUUAAAAUAUAUAAAUUUUUAAUUAAUUUUAAUUAUAUUUGAUUUUCUUUCGUAUUUUUCAUGUUGAAAUCAAAUAUAAAAAAAAAAAAAUUUUUAAUAUUUUUUUUCUUUCUUUAAUAUUUUACGAGACCAAACAUAGCAUAAGGAUCAAAUAAUAGUUUGCUACUAGUAGUUUAACAGUCUAACAUCUCUCCUUCAUCCAGCUCACUUUCUUUUCUCUUUAAUCAUCCACCUUGAUUUUCUUUAAUAUCUUUGGAUUAUAAUUCAUGAUAAAUUUCAUUAAUGGAAUGUAUAUAAAAAAUUAAUAUAUAUAAAGAAAAUAAAGCAGUUUACUAGAUCAAAAUAAAUAAAUAUUCAUGUAACACAAUUUACAAGAAAUUAAAACAUUCAUAGUUUGAUUCUUAAAAAUUUAUUAAUUUAUCUAAUUUAAACCUCCCUCUUAUGAUUAAUAAUUAGUUAUGUUUUGACAAGAAUUCAAAUUCUUGGUUGUUUUAUAAUAAAUAAUUAAUUGUGUUUUUUAUUCAGAAAUAGUGUCUAAAUUGAAACACUUUACCAAGCAUUCAACUUUUUUAACUACAAAUUGUUAAUAUUUUUUUCUUAUCAUUAAUGCAAUAGUUAUAAAGGACAGAUAAAAGACAAGUUGAGAAGAAAAAAAUAUAUAAAAAAACUAUUAAUAUAAUUAAUGGAUUAUGAAAAUACUGAUUAUUUAACUUAUUUUAGCAUUAAAAAGAAUAUAUAUCCCUCUUUUAUCAUUUUGUUAAGUGACUCUGAUGGCGUGAAAUAUAUAUAUAUAUAUAUAUAUAUAUAUAUAGAUGUUUUACAAUUUUUUUAAAAAAUAAUUCUUAAAAAGUAUUUUUUAAAAUAGUUUUAAAUUAUUUUUUUAAGACAAAAUUAUGUUUGAUAACUCAUAUUAAAAAUUUAUCAAAUGUAUUUUCUAAAUUAUAAAACUAUUUUCCAUUGUAAAGAAAAAAACCUGAUUUCAAGAUAACUGCUUACUUUUUUCAAAUUUUCUUGGGGCCACUACCAUCUUAUGAAAUUGUUUUAAAAAAAAACCCUACAAAAAGGCUACUUGGUUAAAUGACUUCCAUUUUUAUUCGUCCUUGUUCAACAGUCGAAAUGAUUAAAUUUAACCAUACACGUUACAAGUCACAACUCAAAUGCUGAAUUAUUCGUUAUAUCAGCACCCAUCAAGGAGUAAGAACCACGGCAUCUUUGCAGGUCUCUUUUCUUUCACAAAGGAAUCAUCCCCAAAAUACGCAAUAGCUUUCUAGAGUGAAUUUCCAUAUCUUCUUGACUCAACCAUUUGAGUUCAAACCGAAAUUGCCUGGAAAGUGAUUUCCACCUAAUGGAACCAACCUUUUCUUUUCAAAGAAACUUCUUUCAAACUGGUAGCUUUACUGGAUUUAAAACCAACCACCUUGUUGUCAGUGGAUCAGCAACAACGACUGGAAACAAUGGCUGAAAGCAUUGUAACGUUUUUUCUAGAGAAGUUAACCGACCUGCUUUCGCAGGAAGCAUUUCUACUCAGCAGAGUAGAAGAGCAGGUGAAGCUGUUGAGUAACGAGCUCGAAUGGAUGCGCCUUUUUCUCAAAGAUGCGGAUGCAAAGCGCAGAUAUGAUCCAAGAAUCAAGCUCUGGGUGAGUCAGAUCAGGGACGUAACCUAUGAUGCCGAAGAUGUCAUCGACAGGUUCAUGUUCGAGAUGAAUCACCAACAGCAAGGAAGUCUCAAAUGUCUCAAGUUUCUUAAGUUAAGGUUUGUUCACAAGCUCGAGUCUCGAAUCAGAGAGAUCAACAUCAAGAUUGAGAAGAUUAUGGCUAACAAAUCAAGGUACGGUGUCGAAACUUUACCAGCUGCAAGCUCUUCCAACGAAGUUGUGCCACAGAAAGAGAAGAGGGUUCCGAUCGUUGAAGAAGUCAAUGUGGUGGGGAUACGAGAGGGUGCAAAAAGUGUGAAGCAAAUGCUGCUUAAUGGAGAGAGGCGGAGGGCAGUGGUGUCCAUCGUGGGCAUGGGUGGCUUGGGAAAGACCACCCUUGCUAAGAAAGUUUACAACGAUAAUGAUGUCCAGCAAUACUUUGAUUGUCAUGCUUGGAUUUAUGUCUCUCAAGAGUAUACAAUAAGGGAGCUUUUGCUAGGCAUUGCUGAUUAUGUUAUGGUUCUAUCCCAAAAGCAAAAGAGUCAAAUGAACGAGAGUGAGUUGGGGAACAGGCUUCGUGAUUACCUGACAACCAAGUAGUACUUGAUAGUUAUGGAUGAUAUAUGGAGAAAUGAAGCUUGGGAUAGGUUGAGCUUGUAUGUUCCUGACUCUAUGAAUGGCAGCAGAGUGUUGAUCACCUCCCGCAAUAAAGAAAUUGGUUUUCAUGCUGAUCCACAAACCAUUCCCCAUGAACUUCCCUUUCUAACUGAAGAAGAGAGUUGGGACCUCUUUCUCAAGAAAAUUUUUCUGGCUGGGAGUGCAAAUGCUGUUUGCCCCAGAGAAUUGGAAGAGCUGGGAAAGAAAAUUGUAGCAAAUUGUGGGGGUUUGCCCCUUGCAAUCGUGGUCUUGGGAGGCCUUCUAUCAAGAAAAGAAAAGACACCACUCGCCUGGCAAAAAGUACUUGACAGCCUAACUUGGCACCUAAAUCAAGGUCCAGACUCAUGUUUGGGGGUCCUUGCUCUAAGCUACAAUGAUAUGCCGUAUUACUUGAAGUCCUGUUUCCUUUACUGUGGCCUUUUCCCAGAAGACUCAGAAAUCAGGACAGAUAAGUUGAUCCGCUUGUGGGUUGCGGAAGGGUUUAUACAAAGAAGAGGAAAAGAAAUAGUGGAAGACGUCGCGGAAGAUCACUUACAGGAAUUGGUACAUAGAAGCAUGAUUCAAGUGGCUGACAAGAGUUUUGAUGGAAGAGUGAUGUCCUGUCGUAUGCAUGAUUUGCUUCGAGACCUUGCCAUUUCUGAGGCUAAAGAUACAAAAUUUUUUGAGGGAUAUGAAAGCAUUGAUUCUACAUCCCCUGUCAGUGUUCGUCGACUAACCAUUCAUCAAGGUAAGAAGACUAAUUCUGAACACUUGCAUAGUUCACGUCUCCGAUCUUUCAUUUGUUUUUCUGAAUGCUUCCAAGAAAACAUUUUAAGAUCUUUAUACAGGGGUGUCAAAUUGCUCACUGUACUGGACCUAGAGAGCAUGGAUAUCUAUACCCUCCCAGAAGGUAUAGGAGAACUUAUCCACCUUAAGUACUUGUGCUUAAGGAGAACCCGCAUAGAAAGGCUUCCAUCGUCCAUAGGUCAUCUUAUUAAUCUACAAACCCUAGAUUUUCGAGGCACUUUAAUUGAAAUAAUUCCUUCUACCAUUUGGAAAUUGCACCAUUUGAGACAUCUAUAUGGUCAUGGUGUGGUUUCAAGGCAGUCAGUGAUAGAUAAUUGUAUGAAUGGUCCUUUGGGUGUUGACCACCUAACAGCCCUCCAAUCAUUAAGUUUAAGAGCAGGAAGGUGGUGCAGUGCAGAAGGGUUAGGAAAAUUAACCCAGCUUAGAGAACUGAAAAUCCGAUGGACUGAAAUACCUCAAAUAAUGUGCAAGGGCUUUUCUGAAUCUGUUGAAAAAUUAACUGCUCUUCGAUCCUUGUAUUUGUACACCACUGACGGAGAGGAAACAUUAGUCAUGCCACAACUCAUGCCUUUCUUACACCACACACACCUUUACCAUGUUCGUUUAGGGGGGAAGCUCGAGAAGUUUCCCAAUCAAAUUGAAUUCUACCCCCCAAACCUUAUUCAGUUGGAAUUGGAAUAUUGUAAUAUAAAGCAAGACCCAAUGGUGACUCUGGAGAAGCUGCCAAAUCUAAGGAUUCUCCAGUUAUUGUAUAGUUCAUACAUGGGAAAGAAAAUGGUCUGUUCUUCGGGAGGAUUCCAGCGACUGGAAACCCUUAAGCUCAAGGGUUUGAAAGAACUAAGAGAGUUAAUUGUGGAAGAAGGGGCAGUGCCAGAUCUGAAGGUUUCAAUAAUUGCCAGUUACCAUAAAAUGGCAAGACUUCCUCGCGGAUUGCUGCAGCUAGAAAAUUUGCAGUACCUAGAGUUGUUUCAGUUGUCACAUAAAUUGAUUGAGGAGGUAAAUCAGACAGAAGGAGAAGAUUGGGACAAGAUCCGGCUUAUCACCUCCAUAUUACAGUAGAGAAAAGGUAACCUGACGGCUCAGGAUCCACACAGCUUGGGCAGUAUUGAGGGCACAAAAUUUCUGAUGCAAUAAAUCUUUCUCUACUUGUCUAAGUAUGUGUUUUUCUUUUUCUUUUGUAUUUGCGUACGAUAAUUCCCUUGCUUCCAUGGCCUCAAAUAAAUUGUUCAUGCAGUUUGUAAUCAAACCCUCACAAUGAAGCUCCAACAGAAAAUAUAAGAGAGUGAGAGAAUGGCCUCCUAAUAUCAAAGAUGUUUUUUCCUUCUAUCCCACAUUGAUAUAUCACAACUAGGUUUAAUCCGAUACCUCAAAAGCAAUAGCAAUUAGAACUGAACGGAUCCAUUAAUUAACAAAUCGGACUACCAGUGUUGCUUCAAUCUGAUCAGAAAUGAUCUAUUAACAUCUGCCAUUACCCCCAUUAGCAGAAUUCAUCUUUUUUUUUUCUUUCACUUUUUCAUCAGCAGCAUGAUCCUUAAACCACUUGUAACAUUACUACAUCAAAUACAUAACAAAUCCACAAAUAGAUUUCUAUUUGCAUAAUCAACUAAGUCUAAUAGUCUAAUGAUGAAAAUCAUAUUGCUGACAACCCAGUUGUUCGGCCGUUUCAUUUUUUAACUCUCUCUUCCGAUACUUAAAAGCGGUGACAAAAGAUUCUUACAUAUUUCAAAUUUUCGGCGGCUGAUGAUCCGAGAUUCAACCUAGAAUUCAAUAUAAAAAAAUCCGCCGACAUAUCAAACAAGUAUAACAUCGAUUGAACAAUAUACCCACAAAUUUCCUCAGAAAUCAAGGUUUUGAUCGAGCUACGUAUCAAUUAAAACUUUCGACCGUGUCCUGCAAGAUCCAUAGAUUCAUGGAGAGAUUUGACCUGCUAUUGUAAAGAAUACGCCGUCUGGCGAAGGAGCUUGACAGAGGAUCGGAGGAUGCUGGUGGAUCGACGCCACGAGCUUGUCGGAGGAUGAUUGUUGAUGUGGAUCGAGUGUCUCAACUAAAUUAUAUUUUUACUCUUUAUAUUUAUAUCAACGCAUUCACAUUAUUGAAGAUACUAAAAAUAAUUAUGUUUUACAUUUCAAAUUCAAACAAGAUAAUAACAUUAUAAGAUUCAUAUUUUAGUUGUAAUUAAGUUGACAAACAAAUUAUGUACACUCAAAAGCGUUUCUCAAUAUAACAUAUUAAAACAUUAUUAAAAAAUUCAAACACAAAGAUUGUCCUUAAAGGUGUUUCUCCUAAAAUGGAUACUAAAAAUACAUAAUAAAUUAAAAAUAUUUUAAUUAGAAUAACUUUCAAAUGGGUUCUAAAAGGUCUGAAAACGGCAAUAUCAAAACUUAAAUAAAGGCAAUGAAUUUUUAACUAUUCAUCCACCAAAAGCAACCGAAGAAAGAGAGCUUGACCCGGAUAAAAAUCUCUCUUGUACAGGGAUCCUUCCCUUUUUUUUUUUUAAGGUAGCAGCCAUCUGAAGGAAAGAAGCUAGAGUCCUUGCAAAUUAAUUUUCAAACUGAUAAAUUCGUUACAGGAUGUCCAGAAUAGAACUAUGGAAUUAUACUUGGGUGUUGCUCAUUGAAUUAACAACACAUAAAUAAGGUACAUCAAGUUUAUCUGGUUUGGUAGGGGCCUGAUCUAUAACAAUUUAAUGCUCUAAGAAUUAGGAGUUUACCAGAAUUAACCACCACGAUUACAGAUGGCAGCAGAACCCUGAGAAUCAACCGCAGGAGAAUAACCUUUGAAGAAAAACAACAAUAGCCUUAUUUCUCAUGAACAAGAGGGCUGUAAAUGGGGAACCACAUAUUACGUAUGAUGUAUUCCACCGUCUCCUCCUGCAUUCACAAUCAGCAAAAAAGGAGUGUCAUUAUAUUUACACUUGUUUUGGCAGCAUUUCCUAAAUAUUUUUCAAAAAAAUAGUUUUUGAAAACAGUUAUUAAUUGUUUUGUAAAAACAGAAUUCUAUUUGAGAACUCUACAUAUAAAAAAAAGAGUUUUCUCAACAUAUUUUCUGUGAAGGGUACUACAUACUGUACAAUGUAAAAGUUUACAAAAUAUUUUUUAUAUUUUUUAUUGUUGGUCAUAACACCUUAUAAAAAAAACAACAAAAAAUACUUAAAAUUUAUUCUCAAAAAUAAUCCUUUUUCAAAACAAAUUCUCAAAAUACUGUUUUCGAUCACAAGCCAAACUUGUUUUCUAUUCUAAAGAAUAAAAAUUUGUUUUUAAGGACAGUUUCCAAACAGACCUUAGGUAAUUUGUGCUUCUUAUAAUAUUCUCAUAUUUUCUCUUUUUGGCUUACAUUCAUCAUUUGAUAUUAAAAGCUCUAAUAUGGUGCAUGUAUGUGUAAUUAAAGGCCAUUUUUACCAAAAUGAGCCCAUGUUUUCGCUAGUAAGAAUUAUUUGAAAUCAGAUCAUACCUUUGACAUGUGCUCAAGCUCUCUUGGCCCCACAUCACCGUGUCCUUCAGCCAGUUCUUCAGCAACAGCAGCUCGCAAAACAGCAGCUCCAACCUCUGCUGUAAUAUGCCGAAUGCUGCAUGAUACAUAAAUACCAAAGAGGAGGUCAUGCCAUGCCAUUGAAAAAUGAGAAUUGAGUUCCCUUCACCUCUAUAACUAAGCAAUAGAACCACCUAUCUAAUGAAGAUAACAUGGACUGUAUCCCAUUCUUUCUUUUAGUUCAGGGUGCAAAGCACUUCCAGCAAAUACUGAGCACUUAACUUCAGACAUUUUAGAAAGAGAAAUCCAAAACUAAAUUAUUGAAUUGGGCAUGCAAUGGAAAUGAGAAGAAAUAGAAUCAAGAGAAGAAUAUAGUAAUGUUUAACAGUAUGAACUGAUCGUUACUUGGGUAUAUCCAUGGCAUAACAUGAUUAGAUCCAAAUGUUAGUGGGCUAAUGGAUUUGUUUAUACAAAAUAUAACUGAUUUCCAAUCAAAACCUACAACUCACUAGGGCCUCUACCAUCAAUCUAGUAUAGGAUGAAUAAGUUAUUGGGUAACUUGGAAAUCGGGUUACACACUAUUAUCCUUGCCACAAAUACAUCUACAGAGUGAAAUUUUUUUAUUGACUAUAUGCUUUUUAUGAAAGCUAAAAUUUUUAGCAGCAUUUUUAAGAAUUUUCUAUUCUGUCUUAUUCAAUUCAAAUAUCAGAAAACGAGUAGAUGAAAGCAACAGUAAUUAUCACAGGGAACCAAGAAAUUACCUGUCGAUGGAUGGAUACAAGAUGCCAUUUUGGGUUUCCUCAUCACUCAUAUAAGAAGCAAGGCUGUGAAGAUAUCAUCAUAUUAGCAACUUAGCAUGGAAAAAAAUGCUUCAUGCCAGGUUAUACUAUCCAAAAAGAACACAGAUAAAUCAACCUUGGGUUAGAACAUAUCUAGCAUAAUACAUAAAUGCGAAGUUCAUAUAACAUUCCCCAUAUGGAUGCCAACCACAUAUUUCUCCUAUAUAAUCAUUCAUUACACUAAGACAUACAUCAUUUUUGUUAUUUGUAUGAUUGCGUUGUACAAUUUUACAAAAGUAUCCAGAUGUUAGUUUUGACCAUGGACCUGGUAAAGAAAGAAAAAAGUUAAAUCUGACAUUUAGUACAAAAGGCCUCCUAGAACUCCUGCAGAAAGAUUAUGUGAUUAUUUCAUUCUUUGUGGACUUGAUCAUUCAACAGUCACAUAGCCAUUGCAACAGAGAUAAGAUUUUUGGAUAAUAAGCAUGUGAAAACAACGGAAAAAAGAACCAGAAGAAAUAGCUUCUCAUUUAAGGUUAAGAUCUUAGCAUCCACAUUACCGACUAAGUCUACAUGUGAAAACAAAGAGAGCUUCAAGUAUUAAACACAUGCCAGGUCCAUCCCUGCCAAUAAACUUAGAAAUACGAGAGCUGUUAGCAUUUAUAACUUAGAGCCCAUUGGGAGUGAUUUUGAGAAGGCUAGAAAUGUUGUCUAAUGUUUGGAACCGCUUCCUUAUAAAAAUUAGGUGUUUGGUAGAUAUUUGAAAAUCACUUUGGGAAUCUGGAGAAUCACUUGAAGUGAUUCAAUAUCAAAGCAAUUUUUGUUGUUUAUAUCCAAACACCAACUGAUUCUCCUUAAAAUCAUUUCCAAUGAAAGUAUUAUGGAGUAAACACGGUUUAACCAGAAUCACUCCCAAACAGGCUAUUAGUAAAUUUAGUCUCAACCGGCUAUUUGUAAACUAAAAUUGAAGCUUAAUUUGAUGUUUCAAACAUGGAUUUUGACAUCAGAGAAAUCCCUUUUUCUGUGGAUAAAGUUCUUAUAUUCACAUUGAACCUUAAAAGUCAGCAAUUCGGUAAGGGCCUGUUCCACGAUGAACUGACUUGACUGAGAUAGUGUAGAUUAAAGAAUGCACAGAAUGACUGAUGAAGCCUCAAUGAAGACAAGAGGAAAGUAACAAAUGAGAGAAAUGCCAGAAAAUCCCACUGGGCCUCCAGGCACUGCCACAUCUUGUGGAGACGAGGUAAACAAUCUGAUAAGAUAACAUUGUAUGCUUGUAACAAAUAAAGAAUGCUGUAGGCCAAUUGAUGACUCUUAGGAAUACAGGCUCAACUGUAACCAAGAUCAUAAUUUUUUUUUUUUGGUAGCCGAAAAAAGGGACUUGCAUUAGAAGCACCUAAAAGACAGCGAAACAAGUACACACGAAGCAUACAAACAAAGCCCAAAAAAAGCAAGGAGACCAAAAAAAACCUUUCUCCAUACCUAACAAACAACCACUUUACAAAAUCUAUCAAAGACAAUGUGUGAUCCUCUAUAUACACCCUACACCAAUUCACAAAAGUAUACAUGAAAAUAGAUUUAAUAGCUUGGUCGGAUCGCUCGACAUCAUUGAAAGCUCUUCUAUUAUUGCUUUCUCUCCAGCACAAAAUGUCCUCCACUUCCCUUCUAACAACCAAAGAUUGUAAUUUAUGAAACAAAUUAUCCACCUCUCCCAUCUCCUAGUCACUAAGAUGUCUUGAAAAGCGAGGGCUAUAUAUGGAUUCUUGUAACCAAGAUCAUAAUGUGGAUUCUUUUUCUCCAAUAUGUAUUUUCUCUAUAGGGAACCUUACCAUCGCUCUCAUCUCCUUUGAAAUAAAUGUAUAUUCACUAUUUUUAACUUCAUAGCCCCUAUAGAAAGCCAACAGGCAUCAUAAUUAAUGCCAAGAGUGACUUAUAAUACCAAAGUUUUCUGGAAUGCACAGAAUUACAGGAGAUGGGAAUACAAGCCCAACCCUGAUAUUGCAAUUUCAAGGACUCUAACGAGAGUCUGGGCAGACUUCUUUCAUUGUUUGUACAAAGAUCAGGACAGCGCUAUAAAUUUUACCAUAAUUAGUUGAAGGCCACAAAAGUCAAAUAAACUAUUUUUCCUAAGGAUUCUUCAAUUUUGUAAAUUUUGGUUUCUCUAAGGGAUACAAAUAAUGUUUAAGUGCAAGGAAGAAAGUAACUAUUUCACUCAUACCAUUCAGCAGCUGCUUGCAACAUGCCAUCUGAAAUAAAAUGAGCACCUGCGAGAAGAGUCCCCAAACCAAUCCUGAAUUAUAGACAACAAAGUUCUAUAUGAAUUUAAUGACAGUCUAGGAAUAGCCCAUAAAUUAGUAAUGACUAAGAAAUGAGCACGAACCCAGGAAACAGGUACAUAUUAUUUGCUUGAUUUACAUGACCUACUUUUCCAUUCCCUGCAAACAAGUAUAGGAUUGUAAGUCAUACAAAUCAAACAAUAAGCAAAAAUGCCAAUAAGUGGCCCAGUAGCCAGCCCUUGCUGUAUGUCUAGAAGAGGCCAGGGUUCAAACCCCUUCCACCUCAACUCCUUUUGGCUAAGUUAAAAAAUUCAGCCUGUUCUUAGAAAACUGGUCGGUCCAUCCAGUUCAAUGGUCAAACCAUCAGGUUGGCCAGUCCAAGGAGGUCUAAUAAGAAAAUGAGCCAAUUCAAGACUCAAACCAGAAAAUGGUCUGGUCAACAGUGGAACCAGUCCAAGCAGCCUGUGUUGUCCGAGUUUAAAAACAUUGAGGAAGGGAGUGGAACCUAUUGCUUAAUGUUAGGAUGGAAAAAUAAUUCAAACACAAUUAGCAUUCAUAAGAAGGAAAGAUACCUAGAUUAACAUUUGCAAAAGGACUCCCACUUGCAAAAACAAUAUUUUCUCCUGCAUGCUUGAAAGCAUCAGCAGCUGUGCACUCAGCUACACCAUAGAAUAUGCAAAGAAAAAAAUGUCAAUGGAGGCCAUAUGUCUGCCUGAAAUAAAUGUAAGUGCUUGAUAGGGUUUGCAACACAAACCAUUCAUGGUGGGAUUUGACAUUGCAAAAAUUGCAGGUUUGGUAGAAUCGGAUUCUCGCAUGGCCUUAAGCACCUGAUUUAUGUGCCAACAAUACAAAUAAGGAACUCAGCCACUUACAAGUACGCAUGCUUACAAUGAAAUGUAUCAUUAAACAGCAAUAGGGGAUGCUACCUUAAUAACACAAGGUAUAUACGCUCAUCACAGAAUUAAUAGGCUAAAACCUCACAUAAAUAAACAAAAACUAUUCAUCCCUAAAAGGUUGUGCCCAUGUCUGCAGCGAGUGAUGAGGAAAACAAACUUGUAAAAGAAUUUUUUUUUAUUAGUAUAUAAAACAUUACUCUUUUCAACAAAAUAUUCGAAGAAAUCAGCUCACCCAUGAAUCUCCAAAUACAUUGCCAAAGAAUCAUAUAAGGUAUAGACACACCAAAUCACAAUGUUCAUCAACAACUAGCAAUAUAGCAUGCAGGUCCAAAUAGAUAAAAUCAAUUUCACUUUUUUAAUAUGCUUUAAAAAGAUAUAGAAACAAACUAGAGGGAUGCCCACCUCCUCAUUGAAGACACCACCAACUCCAGACAAACCAAGAAGCACAUGGGGUUUAACCUUUUUAACCUGAAACAUUUGUUUUCAGCAAUUACAAUUCCUGAGUAAUGAUGAUAUGUAAAAUUGUCAGCUAGUCAAUCUUUUUCCUUCCACAUUCUAUCAUCCUUAAUAAAACUUAUACUGAUAAAGGCAGCUUAAAUCAAUCUAAUAUGAUUUACCACUUCAAGUAAACUAGCUCCCUCUCUCAGUCCCUCAAUCUCUCCUGGGCCUUUAGCAAAUGGUGCUGCAGCUGGAUCUAUAUUUUUCCUCUCUUUUGUGAUGAGACCCUGCUUCCAAACAAAUCUUUCUCAAGCAAAGUUGAAUAAUAAGUUGAAUGGAUGAUUCCAAUGCAUGUUCAACCUAAAGCCACACCCUAUAGAUUUCUGUACAGUGAGAUUUAAUGAUACUGAUUCAUUAACAUAAUUUUUUCCACUACCAUAUAGAUGAAUAUAUGAUUUCUAUUAGACCUCUAUAGGAUGAAUAUAUUCUAGUUAAAUGUGCUUUUUUCCAAAAUCGAGGAUGAGAACCCACUAACAUAUUGUUAGACCACCAAAGUGAAAAGUGAUUAAGUGCAGAACCACACAUCUUUAUCUAGUAGAUAAAAUUGAUGAUUUGGUGAUGCCCCAGUGUUCCCAGCAAUCCUUGAGGCAGCCUGUGCAGCCAUAUUAAGCACACCAAUCCCUGCACUGCAGUCCAGAUAAAAGAACACAAAGAAGUAAAGAGAAGCCUCCAAUAACAAGCACAUACAGCUGAAGCCAAAGUUCACCAAAAGUUCUCAUUCACAAAUUCACUUCUAAAAAAAAUACCUUCCUGCUCCAACUACAACUAUCUUUUGGUUGACAAAGUCAGUCAACGGUCGACCUUGUGCUCUAACAGUUCCUAAAAGUCCCGCCAGAGCAACACCAGCAGUUCCCUAUAAGACAUGAAUAUAAGCACAAACAGAACUCUGCAUCACAUCAUAUGCUUUACUAUAUCCAUAUAAAAUAGCAGAUCCAACUAAAUACUAACCUGUAUGUCAUCGUUGAACAUGCAGAACUUUUUACGAUAACGUUGUAGUGUUUCAAAAGCCCACUUCAUUUGAAAAUCCUCAAACUGAUAUGAUUUUCCCAUCCAUCCAGUUAACAAUAUGACAUGCAUUAGAUAAAAUAUGACAAUAGUUGUAGAUUUAAAGAAAUGAACCUGUACAAUAGCCUUGGGCCAACGAGUGAAAAUAGCUUCCAUUAAUUCAUCAACAACUGAUAGAUACUCUUCUCCUUCCAAUCUAGGUUGCCGAAGUCCUAAAUCUGUCAAACUAAAGUCAUGUGAAAAGAAAUCCUUAUGGUGUUUGCUGGAAAGAACAAGUUAAUUAGUACUUUGCGUAGUUCACACAUUCCCCUAUUCUAGAUGAAUAUGAAGAGAACAAAACAAUCAAAUAGUCCAUAUGAUUCAAAGUCAGAUAGGGAUAAACCUGAACUAAUAAAUCAAUGUUCGAAUUUUUAACAAUGGGUGGUAGAUCCAACUUGAAGGAAGAAAAAAUUAACAUGCAUUUAAAAAAAAAGUCCUGAUAGGUUCCUGUGGACCAUAAGUGUGAGAAAUAAAAUAGUUUUUGAGGUAAAUAAAAUGAAACAAUUAACAAAAGGACACCCUAACUCGAGGAUUCAAAGGGCUCGAAAAUCUUUAAGAUGACGGACUAAAAAAUGAAGGUUGAUAUUACUUUCAGAAAACAACAGUCAUGAUACAACAAUACCACCAGACCUCAUCUGACUAUCAAAUUUUUUUUUUGAUUGGAAUCAUCUGACUAUCAAAUUCAGUCUAGAAACUUAAAUGGAACUGGGGCAUGGUUCUAAAACUUGGUAUUAAAUUGUGCAAAGCCAGCUAACUCAAAUUUGGAUUGAAUGCCUGACUAUCAAAUCAAAGUAUAUUUGGGCAGAACAAAAUCAUUUCUCUUCAUUUUUCCACUACAAGAUUUUAAUUCUUAUGCAAAAAAAUUUCUGUUCUGCUUAUCAUUGUUUAUUCGCAUCAUAAUCUCACAGAAAUGGCAACAACCACCAGGCAAGAAGCCUCUUUUGUUUUUAGUAAUAUACCAACUAGAACAUUUUUUGACUGAAAGUUUCAUAUAAUCAUCUUAUGAUACUGAUCACAUAUGAACUCUGUCUCACAAUCAAACUAUCUUUGUACUAAUGUAUAUUUGUUUAAGCAUGAGGGAGAGAGAGAGAGAGAGAGGAACUCAAUCUUAAGGUGUAGCAAACACCUAAAAUCUCACUAUUCUGUAAAAAUGGAUAAUACCUCCAAUUAUAACAAGCAAACAAAUGUAAUCAGAUAGAUUUAAUAUGCAACUGGCAAAGUAAAAAAAGGCAUAACUAAUCUACACGUAAUAUUAUUAAAAGCACAAUUAAAUAACCAAAAAAAAAGAACUCCCUCAAAAAAAAAAAAAAUGAAUUGGGCUUCUGAAUUAGGAAAUAAGGAAAAAAUACAAGUGCACAUAUUUCUGCUUACAAAGGCGAUCUUCGAGAAGCCUUUGGUUGUUAGUGCCAACAUCAAGCAUAAUUGGAAGUAUCUGCCAGAGAUAAACAUAGGUUGAUUAAUGAAAAAAGAAAACAAAAUUGAUAACCAUAUCAAGAACAAGAAAAAUAGUUGAAUACUUAUUAUAAAUUUUGCCUUCAAAAAAAAAACAAGAAAGAUAGUUAAAACAUAAACAUGUAAUUACCAAGGCUGGAUUGAUUAGUAUUGUGUUUGAUGUAAUUUGCAGAACCAUGGGUUAUCACUAAAUAAUAAGAAUCACAUCUAUAAUCAGGUACUUAUAUAAUGCAUGUGUGUGAGCAUAUCAUAAACACAAACCUGUACAUAUCAUAUAAAAAGUGCAUUCACACAUGCACUUGCACAAACACGUAUUCAUGAUGCAAAUCCUAGCCAUGCUGUAAUGCACACCAAAAUAUAGCACUUCCCCUUUGUCAUCCAGGAACCAUGUGCCUGUGUUUGUGCUUAAAAAGGUGUAUGAACAUAUGCACAUGCACACAGAAUGAGGAGCUGCACAUACUCUCUGUGGAUUGAUACCAGCAGCAGCAACAUACAUAUCAAGUUUCCCAAUAGGAAUUCCAAUUCCCUGAACUCCAAGGUCACCCAGACCAAGAAUACGACUGCCAUCUGUUAUCACUAUCAUGUCCACCUGCAACACAUAAGAGAAACAGAACGUCCAUUAUAAGACAAGAACAGUGAGAAAAACCUAAUCCUGCCACCAAAGAAUGCUGAAUACAACCAUUUUUACUUCUUAGUAACAAAGAAACUUUGAAGCCAUAAAUCAUAACACAGUCAACUACCGGCAAAAUCAUUGGUAAAAAGGUCAAUCAAGGGACAGUUACAAGACUAGGAAAAGGUUCUCCAUAGGGUGCAUAUCAAUUCUCCACUAAUGUUAUAUAAAUAUUGACUUUUCCAAUUGAAACUCUUGCAGACAAAUAGAAACAAGUAUAUAAUAACAGAAAUAUACAGAUAUGUGGUGAGUUUCACAAUGCUAGCAGUACUUCAAGCCAUCAUAACCAAUCAAGAUCCAGAAGCCAAAUUCCCAAAAUAUGUCAAAAGUUUGGACAGGUUACCUAGGAUAACAUAAAUGAUAUAUAAUAUAAUGCCAUAGGAUUAACAUAACUGAUAUAUAAUAUAAUGCUACAUUAAGAUGGACCAAAUCAAAAUUCCAAGGACUUAGCCACUCAGCAAAGAGGAAUUAAAAAGGCUUAAUCUAAAUAUCAAAGCAGAACUAACGAUCUAGACAAAACUCGAAUACAUGAAACUCAGAAACACUAAUUAUUUGGAUCAUAGUUAGCUAUUUAGGGUAUCAAGGAUAGAUAGGUGGGAGAAGGCACUUGGUAGUAUGGGAGAACAUAGCAUGGAGUAAAUCAAAAUGUCACUAGGACAACCAAUUGAUCUAAACAUGAAAUUCUCUGAAAUGACCAAGGAAUAGAAUACUUAUUUAUAGCCUUCACUAAGAGCCUCAUAAAGUCAACGACUGAACCAUGUGAACUAUCACCAUGUCUCAUAAUUAUUAUACAAAAUGGUGAACAAUGUGACCAUCCCUCCAAUUUUAGUUACAACUGUCUGUAAUUACCAGCCACCAAUUCAAAUCUAGAGCUAUCAACAACCACCAACUAUUAUCAUUUUUUGGAUGGUUUAGAAAGAAAGGAAUAGAUUAGCCUUUAGGGGGGGGGGGGGGGGGGGGUUUUGCAAUUUUAAGGUUUAAAAAUUUUUUUUUUUUUAAAAUUUGGGGGGGGGCAAAAUUUUUAAUGGAAAAGGGGCCCCCUUCCCUUUUAAAUUUCUCGGGGGGGUUUGCCCCCCUUAAAGGGGGGGUUUUUUUUUUGGGUUUUUUUUUUUUAGGGCUUUUCGCCCCUGGAAACCCCCCGGAAAAUUUGGGGGCCUUUACCCCCUUCUUAAAAAAAUUGGGUUGUUUUUCCAAAAAAAAAAAAAAAAANNNNNNNNNNNNNNNNNNNNNNNNNNNNNNNNNNNNNNNNNNNNNNNNNNNNNNNNNNNNNNNNNNNNNNNNNNNNNNNNNNNNNNNNNNNNNNNNNNNNCUUUUUUUUUUUUUUGGGGGGUUUAAAAAAAAAGGAAUAGUUUGCCCUUUGGGGGGGGGGGGGGGGGGGGUUUAGCAAUUUAGAGGUUUAAAUAUUCUUUUGUAUGUAAUAUUUGGGGUUGGGCUAAAUUGUAUAUGGAAGAGGAGCCGCAUUCCCUUUUAGAUUUCCUGGAGUGGCUUGCCUCCAGUUAAGGGGUGGUUUGUUUUUUGGCUUUUUGCUUGUUAGGUCUUUGCUGCCUUGUAUACGCCCUGUAUACUUUGGGGCUCUUUAGCCUCUUCUUAAUGAAUUGUGCUUGCUUAUCAAAAAAAAAAAAAAAACAACCACCAACUAUUAUAGUUCUCCUAAACUGUCUUUCAUGCUCUUUCCCAUCUUUUAUUUUUACUUCUAAACCUCCACCUUGGAUGAUACUACUGAAACAUCAAAAAAUCUAGAUCUUAGAUCCUACAUAUUUUCCUUCUCUACAUAUAUUUUCUUUUCUUUUAUGAGUAGUAGCUAUAUAGAUUGCGCAGAUUGCUGGAACAAUCUCAAGUUUUGAAUCCAGAUGUAUCUAUCUAAUCAAAUUCCUGCUGCUCCUUCAGAAGGAAGGAGCCAUUUGGAUUAUCCAAUGGUGGACCAUCUCCAUAAAAUGGUGUAUUCCAUCCAAACUCAACACAUAGGAUGCGUCAUAUUUUAAAUUAAGUUGGAUGCCAAAAAAUAAUGCCUCUGACAACUGUGAAGUUUGUCGUCCACUUGACAUAAAUCCUGUGAGCCAAUAUCAAACCAAAUGUGAAAAAUGCCAUUCCAUAUUAUAUCCAAACUGAUACAGAGAUAGACAUUAUGGCCUAAAGUGAGUUGAAACUUAGAGUCAUGGUUUCUGGGUUGUCUUCAAGAAAAGAAAGUCAAUGAUCAGUCAAAACAUAGAGUAUUAAAAUUAUUACCAGAUGGUUUUGUUGUACUCAAAUCAAAGAUUCACAUGCUUAAUCAUUCUAAAAGCUUGUAUUUUCAGUAAAUGAACAUUCAAAUAAGAAGACUCAAGAAUCUAGUCAGAAUAAACCUUGGUACCAAAUACAGAAGGAAAAAAGAUUUGGGCAUAAUUAAUUAGGUUUAAAACAACUAUAUUACAGAACACAGGAAAUUGAUUUUAGGAUUAGUUGGCUUUGUGGGUAUUGUUAUUUGAUAAUAAGAAAGGUGAGUUAUUAAUUUCAGCAUUUCAGAUUUGUCUUUGGGACUUAUUGAUUAGGUUCCAAACUCUCACAAGCUUUUCUAACCUAAAAUGUUGACUAUAAAGAUAUAACAAAUGGAAUGUUAAAUAAUAACUAUGGAAUAGGGAUAGAUAAAGGGGAAAUACCAUGUUUUAAUUAACUCUCUUCCAAGAUUCACACAGUACCUGGUGAGCUGGCCAGUUGUAGAUCAUGGACAUCAUCUCUCCUUUAUCCUUGCCACUGAAAUACAUUCCACGUGGACGUCUAAACAACCCCGAGUAGUUUUGACACACCAAUCCAACUGUGGGAGUGUAUAUUAUCGGUGCAAAGUCUUUGAUGUUAUCAAUAAGAACCUGGAUAAGAAAUCAAUAGGAUUGCUUUAUUAGAUUAAAAUGCUUAAAUGGGCUAAGAUUACCAGCUAGUAUGCACCACCACCAAACCUACCCGGUAGUACAGUGUCUCAUUCCUGUCAUGUAGUCUAUUUAAGAUCCUCCAUUUUGCUAAGGAUACAACACUAUCUGGUUGGCCCAGAGUAUUUUUCUCCAAUGACCGAUAUGACUCCACUAACAUUCAAAUAACAGAAUAAUGGGCUUAACCUCCACAAUAUAUAAUCAUCAGAAACAAACUUUAUUAGAAAGGAUGAAGAAAGUCAAAGUACAAAUGACAGAACAUUGGAAGGUAUCCCCAAAAAAUUCUGAUGCUGAUGUACUUCAAGAAAAGGGUUCUGAUACUUAAACCAGAAAAUCUGUAGGAGAUAUUGAUAUGCAGAAACUAUCAUAUUAUUCCACUUAAACUCCACAGUCAAAGAAAUUAAAUUCAAAGAUCAACCAAACUCUAGAGUUUUUGGAACCACAGGGAUUGUGUAAAUAAAAACAUGUUGUAUGGUAGCACAGGCAAAUUUCAUAUUGAUUCAUCCAUUACGCAGUUUUCAUGUGGUCAACUUAAUCCUGGGUCCAUAUGUAAGAUUCUUUCUAUACAAGUUAAUGGACUUGAACAGAAACGAGAAGCCAAAGUACAUGCUUUCAAACUUUUCAUCUCUCACAUUACUGUGCUACAGAGAGUCCAGGUCAUAUACUGUCAUCUGUCUUUAUAAAUUUAUUUGACAAGAAUGUGUGGCACUUUUUUCUUAGUAACGGUUAUUCAAAUCUAGAUAUUAGAUUAUGGCAUAUGUUGGAUGUCCUUCCUUUUUUUUUUUUUUUUGACUUAAUAAAUUAUUUCAUAUCCAUUAAAAUCAGUGAUUACAACUGUAUGAGUGGAUGCCUCUCUAUUUCAAAUUAAAAGUCUUACCAUAUAUGGUUUUAUGAAAAAACAAAGGUGUUUGGUAAAACUUAAUAUUUAAUGACAUAACAAAGCGAACAGAUGGGGGAGAAAGGGAGGGAGGGGUGGGAAGGAAAGGGAGGGAGGGAGGGAGGGAGAGGGAGAGGGAGAGGGAGAGGGAGAGGGAUUAUGCUGAAUAUAUGUCUCAUAUUGGUACUCCUGUAUUCCAUACCCUAGACAUGUAUAAGCCUCACAUGUGGUUUUAUCAAUGAAAACCCCUCAUCCUAAUGGGACGUUUCUCUCACUCAACAGGAUGCUCUCUUCAAUUUGCAGGAAGCCACUCUUUCACCUCCUGCUUCUCCCUCCCCCGUCACCUCCCUUUGUCUCUCAAUUUUGGCAAUAGCAUGAAAGGACCCUAUCUACCAAAUAAGUUAUUAUUCUCAAGAAACAGUAGAUAGCAAUUCAUAAAUUAAAAAACACUGAAGUCCACCCAGGCACUCUUUGUCUCUGUUGGUAUUUUUCUCCAGUAACAAGCUUGGUAGAACUCCCUAUCUCAUCACGUACCUAAUCAUACUCAAGAGACAAUGCCCCAGUUGAAUUGAUCAAUCAAAUAAAUGCUUGCUCAGUUUCUAUUUCCACAUGAAAUAGCUAUCAGAAAUACAGACAACCCUUGGCCUCAAUAACUCUGUUUAUUUUAAGAUUGAAGCAGAGUUGGGCUUUACAUUCACCAUAAACAUAAUUAUAUUAGUCAAG